rnacentral:rRNA from 1 species
UUGAACGCUGGCGGCAGGCCUAACACAUGCAAGUCGAGCGGUAGCACAGAGAGCUUGCUCUCGGGUGACGAGCGGCGGACGGGUGAGUAAUGUCUGGGAAACUGCCUGAUGGAGGGGGAUAACUACUGGAAACGGUAGCUAAUACCGCAUAAUGUCGCAAGACCAAAGUGGGGGACCUUCGGGCCUCAUGCCAUCAGAUGUGCCCAGAUGGGAUUAGCUAGUAGGUGGGGUAACGGCUCACCUAGGCGACGAUCCCUAGCUGGUCUGAGAGGAUGACCAGCCACACUGGAACUGAGACACGGUCCAGACUCCUACGGGAGGCAGCAGUGGGGAAUAUUGCACAAUGGGCGCAAGCCUGAUGCAGCCAUGCCGCGUGUGUGAAGAAGGCCUUCGGGUUGUAAAGCACUUUCAGCGGGGAGGAAGGCGGUGAGGUUAAUAACCUCAUCGAUUGACGUUACCCGCAGAAGAAGCACCGGCUAACUCCGUGCCAGCAGCCGCGGUAAUACGGAGGGUGCAAGCGUUAAUCGGAAUUACUGGGCGUAAAGCGCACGCAGGCGGUCUGUCAAGUCGGAUGUGAAAUCCCCGGGCUCAACCUGGGAACUGCAUUCGAAACUGGCAGGCUAGAGUCUUGUAGAGGGGGGUAGAAUUCCAGGUGUAGCGGUGAAAUGCGUAGAGAUCUGGAGGAAUACCGGUGGCGAAGGCGGCCCCCUGGACAAAGACUGACGCUCAGGUGCGAAAGCGUGGGGAGCAAACAGGAUUAGAUACCCUGGUAGUCCACGCCGUAAACGAUGUCGAUUUGGAGGUUGUGCCCUUGAGGCGUGGCUUCCGGAGCUAACGCGUUAAAUCGACCGCCUGGGGAGUACGGCCGCAAGGUUAAAACUCAAAUGAAUUGACGGGGGCCCGCACAAGCAGUGGAGUAUGUGGUUUAAUUCGACGCAACGCGAAGAACCUUACCUGGUCUUGACAUCCACAGAACUUUCCAGAGAUGGAUUGGUGCCUUCGGGAACUGUGAGACAGGUGCUGCAUGGCUGUCGUCAGCUCGUGUUGUGAAAUGUUGGGUUAAGUCCCGCAACGAGCGCAACCCUUAUCCUUUGUUGCCAGCGGUUAGGCCGGGAACUCAAAGGAGACUGCCAGUGAUAAACUGGAGGAAGGUGGGGAUGACGUCAAGUCAUCAUGGCCCUUACGACCAGGGCUACACACGUGCUACAAUGGCAUAUACAAAGAGAAGCGACCUCGCGAGAGCAAGCGGACCUCAUAAAGUAUGUCGUAGUCCGGAUUGGAGUCUGCAACUCGACUCCAUGAAGUCGGAAUCGCUAGUAAUCGUAGAUCAGAAUGCUACGGUGAAUACGUUCCCGGGCCUUGUACACACCGCCCGUCACACCAUGGGAGUGGGUUGCAAAAGAAGUAGGUAGCUUAACCUUCGGGAGGGCGCUUACCACUUUGUGAUUCAUGACUGGGGUG